GGCGCAGCUAACGCAUUAAGUUAUCCGCCUGGGGAGUACGGUCGCAAGAUUAAAACUCAAAGGAAUUGACGGGGGCCUGCACAAGCGGUGGAGCAUGUGGUUUAAUUUGAAGCAACGCGCAGAACCUUACCAGCCUUUGACAUCCUAGGACGGUUUCUGGAGACAGACUCCUUCCCUUCGGGGACCUAGUGACAGGUGCUGCAUGGCUGUCGUCAGCUCGUGUCGUGAGAUGUUGGGUUAAGUCCCGCAACGAGCGCAACCCUCGUCCUUAGUUGCCAUCAUUUAGUUGGGCACUUUAAGGAAACUGCCGGUGAUAAGCCGGAGGAAGGUGGGGAUGACGUCAAGUCCUCAUGGCCCUUACAGGCUGGGCUACACACGUGCUACAAUGGCAUCUACAGUGGGCAGCUAUCCCGCAAGGGUGAGCUAAUCUCCAAAAGAUGUCUCAGUUCGGAUUGUCCUCUGCAACUCGAGGGCAUGAAGGCGGAAUCGCUAGUAAUCGCGGAUCAGCAUGCCGCGGUGAAUACGUUCCCAGGCCUUGUACACACCGCCCGUCACACCAUGGGAGUUGGAUUCACCCGAAGGCAGUGCGCUAACCGCAAGGAGGCA
rnacentral:rRNA from 1 species